rnacentral:lncRNA from 1 species
GAAUGUGCUAGAAAAAUAGGGAACUGAACGAGAGACCUGGUCCCUAAAAUCCUUCUUAUGGUGUUAAUUCUGAUGAUGAUCUUUUUCUCUUGAGUUGUAUGCUUAAACAAACCUCAGAUCCAGUAAAAAGGACUUAGAAAAGUAGGCUGAUUGAUGAUGAAGUGGUAUGACCUGCUGAUGUAGUGAUUGUGGAAGAGAGAAUAAAAUGGAAAAAUCUUCACUUAUGAGAAAGAAUUCAAAAAAAAUGAAGAAAAGAAAGUUGGUUGAUAAAGAUGCAACAGAUGAUAUGGGUGAACAUAUUGAGAAGAAGAAGAAGAAGAUGGAGACAUUGACACUCAGGGAAAGAAAGGGUAGUGUGAGUAAGGAACUUGGUUCCCUACAGAAGAAAAAGGUUGAGUUAUUGGGUUUGGAG